GUGUCAGCCGCCGCGGUAAUACGUAGGGGUCGAGCGUUGUCCGGAGUUACUGGGCGUAAAGCGUGCGCAGGCGGCUCAUCGCGCUCGGCGUGAAAGCCCCCGGCUCAACCGGGGAGGGUCGUCGAGGACGGGUGAGCUUGAGGGUAUCAGGGGUUGGUGGAAUUCCCGGUGUAGUGGUGAAAUGCGUAGAGAUCGGGAGGAACACCCGUGGCGAAGGCGGCCAACUGGGAUACACCUGACGCUGAGGCACGAAGGCGUGGGGAGCGAACGGGAUUAGAUACCCCCGUAGUCC
rnacentral:rRNA from 1 species